rnacentral:rRNA from 1 species
UACGAAGGGGGCUAGCGUUGCUCGGAAUCACUGGGCGUAAAGCGCACGUAGGCGGAUUCUUAAGUCGGUGGUGAAAUCCUGGAGCUCAACUCCAGAACUGCCUUCGAUACUGGGAGUCUCGAGUUCGGGAGAGGUGAGUGGAACUGCGAGUGUAGAGGUGAAAUUCGUAGAUAUUCGCAAGAACACCAGUGGCGAAGGCGGCUCACUGGCCCGGUACUGACGCUGAGGUGCGAAAGCGUGGGGAGCAAACAGG